CAAUAGCAUUCUUUUCUUCUUUUUAAUUAAGCUAGGCACGAGUUUUGGAAUAAUACAAAAUAUUUCUUUUAAUAACCUGGUAACGAAAAAUAUGCCUUCGUUACAUUACAAUCCUUCAGUUGCGAUCUCGUGGCAUCUUUCGCGUGUUAGAUAAAAGUCCGGGCGAUAAAGCGGCAGAACGGCGGGGAAGAAAAAGGAUAACGUUGAUAGGAUCGUUAAGAAAUAAAGGCUUCCAAACCUUUGUGUCGAGUUUAGCGACGAACAAAGAAAAAGUAGCGAGUUGGAAGUCAAGCGAAGAAGAGACUCGUCCCAUUGGAGAAUUUGGGAAUUGAUUGUAGCGGUACAGGUAUCCCCGAGAAUCCUAAAAAUAAGGUACUUUAUGGAAUAGCCGAUUCGCCUUGAACUUGCGACCGGUUGUUUUAUCGGCUUGUUUUCUUUCUAAUAGCGAAAAGAAGAGAAAAAGAGAUGAAGAUCAUUUACGCUAAAACCAAAAUUUAAGUAAUGAAAGUACGGGCUUCUAGUCCGUCGAUCCGCGAUUAAAUUUGGUGAAAGACGAGGGAAGGUGACGUUUCUCGGUGAAACGAGAGAACAAAAGUGGAAGAACGGAGACAGAUGCGUAGCUACGAGGAGUUAGACGGGACGGGACAGGUAUUCAAAUUUCAGAAUGCCAAUCGAUUAAUUGUUCUUCGUUUCCCAAACGAAUUCGGCGUGAAAGAUCCAGUUUGCGUUCGAGGACCAGGGACCAGAACAGCGGGAACGGAUUAUUGACGUUCAUCUUUGAAGUUCAUUGGCAUCGGGAAGUCAAAUGUGUUUCGAUACAGGUUGUAUGAGUUUUUCGUACGUAAAACCUGUUAAAGCGCUUUAACGGCUAAACGGAAUGCAUAAUUAAGUCACACGGCAAGGAACGUCGUAUGACAAAACUGUAUAUAUGAUAGAUACAAAAUUCGACACAGACGUGUACCGUCGUCCCUCUUACAAGGAUUCUUAUCUUCUCUCUAGCCGCGAGAUGCGAUCAAUAGCGCGCUGGUUUCACGAAAAAAAUAAUAGAAAUUGAAAACUUGAGAAAGGGAAAGUAUCGAGGAUGACCAACGAAAUUUGAUGUGAUUCCAUGAUUCUUCAGGAGCCUUGACCCGAUAGAAUAAUACAUUGUCUCGUGUAACUAAUAGAAACCAUUAAUGCAUCUUUCCUCCUAGAAACCUCAGCUUGGACGAUCGUUUAAUAUUUUGCCACGAAUAUGUACACGAAAAAGCUAUUAACAGGAGACCAAUAGAUAAUUCAGGAGGCCAAAACGUCUGUUUCAUUUGGACCGUGUCCCGAUGUUUUCAACUACAUCGCCUAUGUGAUUUACACAACACGCGUUGGAAAGGAGUGGAAUCCUUGGGAAAGCCACGGGAAUCCAUUCGUCAAUUAAAGUUACGAUACUUGUAGCGAAGAAAUCAAACAGCUUUUAAUUACAUCAUCAAUGGUGUUAAUUUCAUGAUUAUUCGACGAAUUCGAGUUACAAAUGUGAAGUGAAAGAAAAGGGAGAGUUCUACGAAAGAGAUUUCUAGGGAUAGGGACAAAUAGCUAAACAAGAUUGCUUGGUGAUUUUCGAAGAACCGACGCAACGUAUAAGGCAAGUCUCGCGUAUGAGGAAAACUGAAUUGUAACAUGAUCGACACGCGACACAUGCCUUCAAGUUUGGAUUGAAGGGUCUUAAGAAAGAAUCAAGGCCACGGUACCAGUCUCAAGCCAGCUUUCUGCCGGUUGCUGGUUAGUGACCCACACCUAUCCCAGGUUACAAAGAUUUCGAUUAUCGUGUAUGGACUCUUGGAACUCUAGGCUCUCUUCCUCUCCUUCCUCUUUCCUUCUCUUUCUUUUACUUUUUCGUUUUCCUUUGUCCUCACAUUCUUCCCCUCUAUUCGUAACUGCCCAACUGCGAAGGAUAUCGAACCUAUCUUCGUUAUUUAUCGCUCUUCAUCUUCGUGUAGGCGUCUCAUGAAUAAAUACAAUUCCUUAAUUAUUGGAACUGUAUAAUAAGAUUGCAUUACUUUGCGAUUGUAAUUUAUUACGUAUUUCGUUUCGAUCUCUAUAUGUUUCAUGUACGAAAUUACAAUGUAAUUUUUCAAUUCGUUCAAAUAGAACAUCCUUCCGAAGUUUCGUCUUUUAAGAAUUAACGAAAGUUUCCUCCUGUUCUUUUGCAAAGGGAAGCGAGAACAUGAGAAAUCACACGAAACGCCGUUAAAACGAGUCAAAAACAAAUGGUAUUACCAUAUAUCUUGAAAUUACAAUAUACGAUUCGCAUUUUUAAAUUCGUCUAAAUAAGACAUUCUCUUGAAGCCUUAUCCUUUAAGAAUUAAGGAAACUUUUCUCGUAUUCGUCUGCAAAGGGAGGCCAAGGGAGAAAUCGCGCGAGGCGUCGUUAAUGAGCCAGAAGCAAAAGACAUUGUAAAUAAUCGUAAAGUUGAAUACCUGAGAGCUCUAAUAUUCUUUUACAACGUAAAUGUAUACAUAAAUUCCAUAUGUUUGCGUUAUCGUAUCGUUAACUGGAAAGCAGUGCGUCGUAACUGUAGAUAAGACGUUCAUGCACUGCGUGUUUGUGAACGUUGCUAAUCGUAAGCGCGGGCGUAUAAAUGUGAGCGCCAAUACCUUCAGUAAGAUUCUUACUCGACUUUGAUCUGCUCUUUCAAUAUGUAAGGCAACUUAGGAGGAGCGUCAAUGACCCAGAAUAACAGUAAUGAUGAAAAUAAUGCAUAUUAAUCGGAGCAUAUUGGUACUUUUGUUAGUCCUAUUGCUUCCUUUAUAUCCGCUACAAUUGUCAUUACUUUCGUCACACGUGUGUGUUAAAUUUAUUAUACAUAAAAAAUAAAAUUCUCAAAGAGGAUGUUGUUGCGAAAAAAGAAAAAAGAGGAACCUUUUAGGAACUUUUAGGAGAAUGGUGAACCAUCAUGGAAAAUUAAGGAGAAGGAUCAAGGUGUCCAAGAAAUUCAUGGCCAACAUCUUUGGAUGAAAAAAUAAUAAUCUUCAGAAAUUUCGAUUCGUCGUGAUGCUGUGAAGAAAUAUUAUAAUGAAAUGAUCCGUCUGUCGUGACCAGAUUUCAACCCCCACGAGCAUCACCCGUAUAAAAGUACCGUAGCUUGGAGCUCUCAGGGCAAUUCCUCUUUACCCGGCUAACAGAAACAGUAUUUGCACUCGCAUCAAUUCCUACAGUACGGA